rnacentral:rRNA from 1 species
GACGAACGCUGGCGGCGUGCCUAAUACAUGCAAGUAGAACGCUGAAGAGAGGAGCUUGCUCUUCUUGGAUGAGUUGCGAACGGGUGAGUAACGCGUAGGUAACCUGCCUUGUAGCGGGGGAUAACUAUUGGAAACGAUAGCUAAUACCGCAUAACAAUGGAUGACACAUGUCAUUUAUUUGAAAGGGGCAAUUGCUCCACUACAAGAUGGACCUGCGUUGUAUUAGCUAGUAGGUGAGGUAACGGCUCACCUAGGCGACGAUACAUAGCCGACCUGAGAGGGUGAUCGGCCACACUGGGACUGAGACACGGCCCAGACUCCUACGGGAGGCAGCAGUAGGGAAUCUUCGGCAAUGGGGGCAACCCUGACCGAGCAACGCCGCGUGAGUGAAGAAGGUUUUCGGAUCGUAAAGCUCUGUUGUAAGUCAAGAACGAGUGUGAGAGUGGAAAGUUCACACUGUGACGGUAGCUUACCAGAAAGGGACGGCUAACUACGUGCCAGCAGCCGCGGUAAUACGUAGGUCCCGAGCGUUGUCCGGAUUUAUUGGGCGUAAAGCGAGCGCAGGCGGUUUGAUAAGUCUGAAGUUAAAGGCUGUGGCUCAACCAUAGUUCGCUUUGGAAACUGUCAAACUUGAGUGCAGAAGGGGAGAGUGGAAUUCCAUGUGUAGCGGUGAAAUGCGUAGAUAUAUGGAGGAACACCGGUGGCGAAAGCGGCUCUCUGGUCUGUAACUGACGCUGAGGCUCGAAAGCGUGGGGAGCGAACAGGAUUAAAUACCCUGGUAGUCCACGCCGUAAACGAUGAGUGCUAGGUGUUGGAUCCUUUCCGGGAUUCAGUGCCGCAGCUAACGCAUUAAGCACUCCGCCUGGGGAGUACGACCGCAAGGUUGAAACUCAAAGGAAUUGACGGGGGCCCGCACAAGCGGUGGAGCAUGUGGUUUAAUUCGAAGCAACGCGAAGAACCUUACCAGGUCUUGACAUCCCGAUGCUAUUUCUAGAGAUAGAAAGUUACUUCGGUACAUCGGUGACAGGUGGUGCAUGGUUGUCGUCAGCUCGUGUCGUGAGAUGUUGGGUUAAGUCCCGCAACGAGCGCAACCCCUAUUGUUAGUUGCCAUCAUUCAGUUGGGCACUCUAGCGAGACUGCCGGUAAUAAACCGGAGGAAGGUGGGGAUGACGUCAAAUCGUCAUGCCCCUUAUGACCUGGGCUACACACGUGCUACAAUGGUUGGUACAACGAGUUGCGAGUCGGUGACGGCAAGCUAAUCUCUUAAAGCCAAUCUCAGUUCGGAUUGUAGGCUGCAACUCGCCUACAUGAAGUCGGAAUCGCUAGUAAUCGCGGAUCAGCACGCCGCGGUGAAUACGUUCCCGGGCCU